rnacentral:rRNA from 1 species
CAGCAGCCGCGGGAAUACGUAGGGCGCAAGCGUUGUCCGGAAUUAUUGGGCGUAAAGAGCUCGUAGGCGGUCUGUCGCGUCUGGUGUGAAAUCCCGAGGCUCAACCUUGGGCUUGCAUCGGGUACGGGCAGACUAGAGUGCGGUAGGGGAGACUGGAAUUCCUGGUGUAGCGGUGGAAUGCGCAGAUAUCAGGAGGAACACCGAUGGCGAAGGCAGGUCUCUGGGCCGCAACUGACGCUGAGGAGCGAAAGCAUGGGGAGCGAACAGGAUUAGAUACCCGGGUAGUCCCUGUCUCUUAUAC